CUUUUUUCAGAUUCAAGGAAUAAGAUGGAGGUAUUUGGAAAAUCUCCCAUGGUUACAUCUGCCAAUGUUAUUUACUUGUCUGCAAUUCUGGGUCGCGAUUGCGAUGGACCCAAUCAGUGUCACAAAUGUGAUUGGAAAUGUGAGAAUGAAAUUGUUUGUGGGAAUAUGUAUCGCUGCAAACUAACUGGGCUGACUCAUGUCUGCGACAAGAAUUGUAACCAGCGGAUUCUCUAUGAUAACCAUAGCUCUUUGUGCCGUGCCAGCGGGAGGAUUUUCCCUCUCUCAUCGGUUGAGGAGCAGGCGGUUAAAGGGGUUCGGAGGAAGCUUGACGCUGCUGAGAGUCAUCCUUCUGAGAGCUGUUCGUUUAAGCGUCGUCGUCGUGAUGCUCAGUUCCAUGCUUCUCCUUUCGAGAGGUCUUUUACUGCUGUGAGCCCCAUCUGCAGCCCAGCUGGAGACGGAAUGGAGUUGAUUUAGAUCCAUGUUGAUCUCCUCAAAUCCUGAGACUGAGAGGCUUCUUUAUCUUACAGCCUGACACACCAUGGCUGAUUUCUGUAAAUGUGGUGCUACCGCUACAGGGUUUUUACACAUUGCUAACCAAUUCCUGAAGAUAUUUUCUGGUUUGUUAUCUUGUAGGAAAUUCCCCUUAAUCCUUUCUGAUCGAAACCUAAUUCUAACAAAUCAUGUGUUCUUUCCAACUUUCCUUUCCUUGAUCGAUGAGUAUUUGGGUCUGAAAAUGUUUUCUGUUUGUGCAGGUUUCAAAUGUUGCAAUUCAGGAGAGUUUAAUUGUGCUUCUUUUAUGUACACUGAUUUGCUUGUUUGAAUUUUCUUUAUCAAAGGAGUAAAUCUAACUGAUGAAAGUUUAAACCUUACUUUGCAGGUCCUCUUGUGUUUGUGCUCAGCAGGAAACAACAAGCUUGGUUUAAAUUCAUUGGCACCAUAAGCUGUUACUCCUUAACUGUGAGAAGGAAGACGGCAUUAAAUAGGUAUGAUGAACUACCUAGUGAGGAUGUGGCCGGCCAACUGUGUUCAAAACUAUCAGCUAAACAUGGUACAAUCUCUUUAGACUGUUAAGUUGCUGAUGAAGAUAGCUUGUAUGUAAUAUCUGAGGCCCGGAUGGAAUCUGCG